rnacentral:lncRNA from 1 species
UCUAGACAACAAGGCAAUCACUGGGCAUCUUCAAAAUCUUCAAUUAGCCGACGAGACACUUAUCUUCAGUGGUGUGCAAAGAAACAGCAUAUACUGAAAUUUAUCCUCUAUUCUUUCGAGCUUUUAACAGGUUUCGAAAUAAAUUUUCAGAAAUCGAAAGUCUUGGGUGUCAGCAAAAAUGCACAUAACAAAUUAUCGGUGUCUUGGGAAGUCAAACAUCUAUAUUUCCACUUACAUACCUAGGCCU